rnacentral:rRNA from 1 species
AGUGAACGCUGGCGGUAGGCCUAACACAUGCAAGUCGAACGGCAGCACAGUAAGAGCUUGCUCUUACGGGUGGCGAGUGGCGGACGGGUGAGGAAUACAUCGGAAUCUACUUUUUCGUGGGGGGUAACGUAGGGAAACUUACGCUAAUACCGCAUACGACCUACGGGUGAAAGCAGGGGAUCUUCGGACCUUGCGCGAUUGAAUGAGCCGAUGUCGGAUUAGCUAGUUGGCGGGGUAAAGGCCCACCAAGGCGACGAUCCGUAGCUGGUCUGAGAGGAUGAUCAGCCACACUGGAACUGAGACACGGUCUAGACUCCUACGGGAGGCAGCAGUGGGGAAUAUUGGACAAUGGGCGCAAGCCUGAUCCAGCCAUACCGCGUGGGUGAAGAAGGCCUUCGGGUUGUAAAGCCCCUUUGUUGGGAAAGAAAAGCAGCAGGUUAAUACCCCGCUGUUCUGACGGUACCCAAAGAAUAAGCACCGGCUACUUCGUG